GCUAGCAGCCAUAUCACCCUGCAACUCACAACUGGCAACCCACUGAAGCUAAGCAGGUGUGAGCCUGGUCAGUACCUGGAUAGGAGACCUCCUGGGAAAAACUAAGGUUGCUGCUGGAA
ensembl:rRNA 5S_rRNA 5S ribosomal RNA